AUGACCAAGAGAGGCCCCCGGAUCUGCGCUCCCGCGGCUGACGGCGGCCAUGACGAGGCUGCUCUAGAGCACCCCCUCCCCGGCGGCGAGAGAUUGGCCUCCACGUACAUGGAGUUGACCCCGGUUUUCAGGGAUGGUGCUGCUAGCGUUCAACACCAUGGACGGACGGAUGCUGGGCAGAACCCAGGCCAUGACAAUGCAGGCACAUAUCAAGGAUUCUCGACACCCUCAACUGAAGCUCCAACUCAAUUACUUCCCGUGCUGGACAUUGCUCCAACAUCGUCGUUCCGUCCAUGCUUCGAAUUGAUGGGUUGCCGUUCUGCCGACCUUGCCGGAAUCAAGUCUGCCCGUGCUCCAGCCAAGAUACGUCAUUUCGGGUGCUCGAGCAGUACUAAUUUAUAUUCAUGCUGCUAA
rnacentral:rRNA from 1 species